rnacentral:rRNA from 1 species
GAUGUUCGGGAGAGGGAUGCAGAAUUCCAGGUGUAGCGGUGAAAUGCGUAGAUAUCUGGAGGAAUACCGGUGGCGAAGGCGGCAUCCUGGACCGACAUUGACGCUGAACGGCGAAAGCUAGGGGAGCAAACGGGAUUAGAUACCCCGGUAGUCCUGGCCCUAAACGAUGAAUGCUUGGUGUGGCGGGUAUCGAUCCCUGCCGUGCCGAAGCUAACGCAUUAAGCAUUCCGCCUGGGGAGUACGGUCGCAAGGCUGAAACUCAAAUGAAUUGACGG